AGAGGAGAGAGGAGAGAGGAGAGAGAAAAUAAUUAAAACUCAAUAAGAAGAAAACAAGAGAGAGGAGAGAGAGAGGCUCAGUGGAGCUAGCGGUUCCCUCUCUCCCUAUGUAGUCGAAACCCUAGUUUUUACCGUCUAUCUGCAUCUCUUUGAUCUAUGAAUUCUUCAUUUCCAUCUCUCCCCUAUCCAGUAUCGCUGAAAAUUUAGCGUUGUCACUGUUUCUAUUCAUAUGAUGUUCAUUGACAGGUUUUGAAAUCUCCAAUAAGAGCUCUUGUAAUCGAAUUUGAAGAGAGUGGUGUGUGUAUAUAUAGGAUAUGUAUAGAGAUCGAGGUGGUGGAUCGUCCAAGUCUGAGCUUGUCGGUGGACCGUUGGAUCGGAAGCGAAUCAACGAUGCGUUAGAUAAGCACCUGGAGAAGUCGUCGCCGUCGACGUCGAGGGGUUUGAACGGCAAGGACAAGGAAAGACUAUCUAUACCGUCUACUUCAGCCGCUGUUGGUGGUGGAAAAUCGCAGCAGCUCGAUCAUCGGUCAUCGUCGGCUCUUGCCGCCAAGGACAAAUGCUCAGAUGAGGAAUCUGAAACAGACAGUGAAGAGUCGGACGUGAGUGGUUCUGAUGGAGAUGACACUUCUUGGAUCUCAUGGUUUUGCAAUUUGCGAGGAAAUGAAUUUUUCUGUGAAGUUGAUGAUGAAUACAUCCAAGAUGAUUUUAAUCUUUGCGGGUUAAGCAGUCAAGUUCCAUAUUAUGAUUAUGCUCUCGAUCUAAUUUUGGAUGUCGAGUCCUCUCACAGUGAUAUGUUGACUGAAGAACAGAAUGAGUUGGUUGAAUCGGCGGCAGAGAUGUUGUAUGGUCUGAUUCAUGUCCGGUACAUAUUGACUAGCAAGGGUAUGGCGGCAAUGUUAGAGAAAUACAAAAACUACGACUUCGGGAGAUGCCCACGAGUUUACUGCUGCGGACAACCUUGCCUUCCCGUCGGUCAAUCCGACAUUCCCCGUUCAAGUACUGUAAAAAUUUACUGUCCGAAAUGCGAAGAUAUUUACUAUCCCCGAUCCAAGUACCAAGGCAGUAAUUCUGGAAACAAAUUAGUUGUGGUUAACUUCCCAGGUUAUAUUCUGGGAACUUAGAUAAAAAUUACCUUUUUAUGUGGUAUAGUCCUAAACAUCAUCAGCCUCUUACUUUCCAAAGGGAGGUCAGGGGUUCAAGUCUCAGAAGAGACGUGUGUGUGAGUACCAGCUAAGAAAAAAAACAGAAAAAAUUCAGGAAAUAUUCAUGAAUAUCUGAAGAAUUACAUAUUCAGAGAUUGAAGGACAUCUGUUGACUGUUCAAAGUUUGAAGGACAUCUGAAGGCUGUUAAGUUUUUCGGUUUGAAACAUCCCAUUCAACAUUGGGUUAUAUGGUGCCUCCUAGGCUUGCGCGUCAACUGUCUAGAUUAAUGAGCACGCUCUAUAGCUUGACGGGUUUUAUGGAAAGAUGACAACAUUGAAGGAGAUAUUGAUGGAGCUUAUUUUGGAACCACAUUUCCUCACCUGUUCUUGAUGACUUAUGGGCACGUCAAACCGCAGAAAGCAACACAGAAUUACAUUCCAAGAGUAUUUGGCUUCAAGAUCCACAAGCCGUGACACAGUUC